CUCAAGAUUAAGCCAUGCAUGUCUAAGUAUAAGCAAUUAUACCGUGAAACUGCGAAUGGCUCAUUAAAUCAGUUAUCGUUUAUUUGAUAAUACCUUACUACUUGGAUAACCGUGGUAAUUCUAGAGCUAAUACAUGCUGAAAAUCCCGACUUCGGAAGGGAUGUGUUUAUUAGAUAAAAAACCAAUGCCCUUCGGGGCUCCUUGGUGAUUCAUGAUAACUUUACGGAUCGCAUAGCCUUGCGCUGGCGACGGUUCAUUCAAAUUUCUGCCCUAUCAACUUUCGAUGGUAAGGUAUUGGCUUACCAUGGUUUCAACGGGUAACGGGGAAUUAGGGUUCGAUUCCGGAGAGGCAGCCUGAGAAACGGCUACCACAUCCAAGGACAGGCAGCAGGCGCGCAAAUUACCCAAUCCCGACACGGGGAGGUAGUGACAAUAAAUACUGAUACAGGGCUCUUUUGGGUCUUGUAAUUGGAAUGAGUACAAUUCAAUCUCUUAACGAGACA
rnacentral:rRNA from 1 species